rnacentral:rRNA from 1 species
GAUGAACGCUAGCUACAGGCUUAACACAUGCAAGUCGAGGGACCGGCGCACGGGUGAGUAACACGUAUCCAACCUGCCCUUUACUCGCGGAUAGCCUUUCGAAAGAAAGAUUACUACCCGAUAUAAAGGAUGGGGAUGCGUUCCAUUAGGUUGUUGGUGAGGUAACGGCUCACCAAGCCUUCAAUGGAUUGGGGUUCGGAGAUGAAGGGCACCAAAAUUGGAACGAGGAGGCGGUCCAAACUCCGACGGGAGGCAGCAGGGAGGAAUAUUAGACAAUGGGCGCUAGCCUGAGCCAGCCAAGUAGCGUGAAGGAUGAAGGGUUAUGGGUCGUAAACUUCUGUUAGAGAAGAAUAUGUAUUAAAUGAAUAAGGAUCGGCUAAGUCCGUGCCAGCAGCCGCGGUAAUAC